UUCAUUAGACGUUGGAAGUAAGAGGGUU
rnacentral:sRNA from 1 species